rnacentral:rRNA from 1 species
AGAGUUUGAUCCUGGCUCAGGACGAACGCUGGCGGCGUGCCUAAUACAUGCAAGUAGAACGCUGAAGAAAGGAGCUUGCUUCUUUUGGAUGAGUUGCGAACGGGUGAGUAACGCGUAGGUAACCUGCCUUGUAGCGGGGGAUAACUAUUGGAAACGAUAGCUAAUACCGCAUAACAGCUUUUGACACAUGUUAGAAGCUUGAAAGAUGCAAUUGCAUCACUACGAGAUGGACCUGCGUUGUAUUAGCUAGUAGGUAGGGUAACGGCCUACCUAGGCGACGAUACAUAGCCGACCUGAGAGGGUGAUCGGCCACACUGGGACUGAGACACGGCCCAGACUCCUACGGGAGGCAGCAGUAGGGAAUCUUCGGCAAUGGGGGCAACCCUGACCGAGCAACGCCGCGUGAGUGAAGAAGGUUUUCGGAUCGUAAAGCUCUGUUGUAAGAGAAGAACGUGUGUGAGAGUGGAAAGUUCACACAGUGACGGUAACUUACCAGAGAGGGACGGCUAACUACGUGCCAGCAGCCGCGGUAAUACGUAGGUCCCGAGCGUUGUCCGGAUUUAUUGAGCGUAAAGCGAGCGCAGGCGGUUUAAUAAGUCUGAAGUUAAAGGCAGUGGCUUAACCAUUGUUCGCUUUGGAAACUGUUAAACUGGAGUGCAAAAGGGGAGAGUGGAAUUUCCGUGUGUAGCGGGUGAAAGGCGUAAAUAAUAAGGGAGGAACCCCGGGUGGCAAAAGCGGCUCUCUGGUUCUGUAACUGAACGCUGAAGCUCGGAAAGGGGGGGGGGAGAA